ACUCAUAUAUUUUUAAUCAAUUCUGGAAAAUUAAGAGUCCAUGACUUGACUGAUUUCUCACAAUGAUUGCAGAAAUCAAAAACUGUCUUGAUCUCAAGAGUUCCUAGAUUAUGUUCUAUCACUGGAUUACUAACAGUGAUGUAGAAGGAGACAUAGAACAUCUGUUUUGUUUGAUCUACAUUUUUUCUUCUUCAGUAUUGUCACGGACAGCCCUAGACAAUAUUCCAAUAAAGAUGUAGAUCAAACAGUAGGACAUUCAAAAGAGCAAUAAAAUGCUAUGUUGUUGGUAUUAAAAUUAAAAUAAUCUUUGUUUACAUCUUCACUUUAUUAAUGUGGAAAGGUCAAGUUCUAAUGAGUUAGAAAAGUAAAUAACCUUUAAUACAGUAUGCAAAUUGUAUUCAAACUAUUCCCUCUUGACCUGUGGUUAAAGUUCUUUCUUAGGAUAUACAUGUACGU